AGAAUGAACGCUAGCGAUAUGCUUAACACAUGCAAGUUGAACGUUGUUUUCGAAUCAGAAUGAGAACAAAGUAGCGAACGGGUGCGUAACACGUGGGAAUCUGCCGAACAGUUUGGGCCAAAUCCCGAAUGAAUAAAAGCUAAAAAGCGCUGUUUGAUGAGCCCACGUAGUAUUAGGUAGUUGGUUAGGUAAAAGCUGACCAAGCCUACGAUGCUUAGCUGGUCUUUUCGGAUGAUCAGCCACACUGGGACUGAGACACGGCCCCAGACUCCUACGGGAGGCAGCAGUGGGGAAUCUUGGACAAUGGGCGAAAGCCUGAUCCGGCAAUAUGGCGUGAGUGAAGAAGGGCAACGCAGCUUGUAAAGCUCUUUCAUCGAGUGUGCGAUUGUGACAAGACUCGAAUAGAAGCCCCGGCUAACUCCGCGCCAGCAGCCGC
rnacentral:rRNA from 1 species